UACGGAGGGUGCAAGCGUUAUCCGGAUUCACUGGGUUUAAAGGGUGCGUAGGAGGGCAGGUAAGUCAGUGGUGAAAUCUCCAAGCUUAACUUGGAAACUGCCGUUGAUACUAUCUGUCUUGAAUACUGUGGAGGUGAGCGGAAUAUGUCAUGUAGCGGUGAAAUGCUUAGAUAUGACAUAGAACACCAAUUGCGAAGGCAGCUCACUACACAUAUAUUGACUCUGAGGCACGAAAGCGUGGGGAUCAAACAGG
rnacentral:rRNA from 1 species